GACGAACGCUGGCGGCGUGCUUAACACAUGCAAGUCGAACGGAGUGGCGAACGGGUGAGUAACACGUGGGUCACCUGCCCUGCACUUCGGGAUAAGCCUGGGAAACUGGGUCUAAUACCGGAUAGUGUGGGAUGGGCCCGCGGCCUAUCAGCUUGUUGGUGGGGUAAGGGCCGACCAAGGCGGCGACGGGUAGCCGGCCUGAGAGGGUGGACGACCACAGUGGGACGGAGACACGGCACAGACUCCUACGUGAGGCAGCAGUGGAGAAUAUUGCGCAAGGGGCGGAAGCCUGAUGCAGCGACGCCGCGUGGGGGAUGACGGCCUUCGGGUUGUAAACUCCUUUCACCAUCGACGCGGUGGAUGGAGAAGAAGCACCGGCUAAGUACGUGCCAGCAGCCGCGGUAAUAC
rnacentral:rRNA from 1 species